CGGCGGACGGGUGAGUAACGCGUGGGCAACCUGCCUUGCACAGGGGGAUAACAGUUAGAAAUGACUGCUAAUACCGCAUAAGACCACAGCCCCGCAUGGGGCGGAGGUAAAAACCGAGGUGGUGCAAGAUGGGCCCGCGUCUGAUUAGGCAGUUGGUGGGGUAAGGGCCCACCAAACCGACGAUCAGUAGCCGACCUGAGAGGGCGACCGGCCACAUUGGGACUGAGACACGGCCCAAACUCCUACGGAAGGCAGCAG
rnacentral:rRNA from 1 species